UACGUAGGGUGCAAGCGUUAAUUCGGAAUUACUGGGCGUAAAGCGUGCGCAGGCGGUUUUGUAAGUUUGUCGUGAAAUCCCCGGGCUCAACCUGGGAAAUGGCGAUGAGACUGCAAAGGCUAGAGUUCGGGAGAGGAUGGUGGAAUUCCCAGUCGUAGAGGUGAAAUUCGUAGAUAUGGGAAGAACACCGAUGGCGAAGGCGGCCGCUGGGCAGUAGUGGACGCUGAGGCGCGACACGUAGGGGCAGCAACGAGGAUUGAGGAAACCCGGGUAGGUCAGCAACCAAGUCCUCUC
rnacentral:rRNA from 1 species